UCUCGCGCACCGAUUAUUUUGCUGUAUAAGCAAGAGAACCCACCACGUUAGUGUAACGUAUCUUGUACAUCCCACUAAUAUGUGCUUUAAUUUACCAAGUGAGAUGAGUUACUUUUAUGGCUCAUUCAGUCAUAUCACACUGCAAGCUGCAUUGAUCAAUCUUCAAUUGGAUUUUGCAAAUCUUUAAUAAAACAUGUUUCCCUUUUAUGCAGAUAUGCAAUGGCAAGCCCUUCCAUGUGUUCCAAAGACAAUGCCUACGCCUAGCCACAGCAGCUCCCUCAUACAGACUCCGCAAGCAAAGAGACCGUGGAGGCAAAUGCAGGCAGCCAGCACACCUCGAACAGCCACCUUGACUGCGGGUGUGUCACCCUAGUCGCCAAGGAAACAUUUGAGGGAAAGUGACAGGCAAUGUGAACAGCCACUUCUCCAUGUAAACAAUACUCUUUCUCUCGGAUGACUCCUACGCCUCGCCACUCCAGCACACUUGUGCACAAAGAUGCCGCAGAAGCACGUGCAGGUCAGAGGCAAGAAGCAGUGGCACUGGUGUCGACAUUUACCCAAUUUCUUUUUCUUACACUGAGGCAGCCAGCACACCUCGAACAGCCACCUCGACUGCGGGUGUGUCAGUAGAUUCCUGUUGUACAUAUGCUCAUAAUAAACUUCAGUAAACUUGAACUUCAUAAUAAACUUGAAGGCAAAUGGGA
rnacentral:lncRNA from 1 species